GAUGAACGCUGGCGGCGUGCCUAAUACGUGCAAGUCGAGCGAACGGACGAGAAGCUUGCUUCUCUGAUGUUAGCGGCGGACGGGCGAGUAACACGUGGAUAACCUACCUAUAAGACUGGGAUAACUUCGGGAAACCGGAGCUAAUACCGGAUAAUAUUUUGAACCGCAUGGUUCAAAAGUGAAAGACGGUCUUGCUGUCACUUAUAGAUGGAUCCGCGCUGCAUUAGCUAGUUGGUAAGGUAACGGCUUACCAAGGCAACGAUGCAUAGCCGACCUGAGAGGGUGAUCGGCCACACUGGAACUGAGACACGGUCCAGACUCCUACGGGAGGCAGCAGUAGGGAAUCUUCCGCAAUGGGCGAAAGCCUGACGUAGCAACGCCGCGUGAGUGAUGAAGGUCUUCGGAUCGUAAAACUCUGUUAUUAGGGAAGAACAUAUGUGUAAGUAACUGUGCACAUCUUGACGGUACCUAAUCAGAAAGCCACGGCUAACUACGUG
rnacentral:rRNA from 1 species